CGGGGUGAGUAACGCGUGAGUAACCUGCCUUACACAAGGGGAUAGCCGUUGGAAACGACGAAUAAUACCCUAUGACAUAAACUCUUCGCAUGAGGAGCUUAUCAAAGAUUUAUCGGUGUAAGAUGGACUCGCGUCUGAUUAGCUAGUUGGUGAGGUAACGGCCCACCAAGGCGACGAUCAGUAGCCGGCUUGAGAGAGUGUACGGCCACAUUGGGACUGAGACACGGCCCAGACUCCUACGGGAGGCAGCAGCA
rnacentral:rRNA from 1 species